AACUCUUGAAGUUUGUACAUGCUUAACAGCACAAUGUUAAAGCUCAACAGCCACAUGUGUUGGCCUAUGUCCAACAGUGAAUGGGCGCCAUUCCUCAUUUUCAUUUCAUAGUUGGGUUGGAAAGAUGCUGAUACACAUCAGUAACUGCUUGUAUUCUACGAGUAUGUGCCACGCGGUGGUCUCCGAGUCCCGGAACCGGCACGAGGACGGGCCCCGGUAGCGCCGCAAGGAGUGCAGCAGCAGAAGCCUGAUCGGCCAAUGUUGCCAAUGAAAUAAAUUUUUAGAGAGUUUUUACUCGAAAUGCUAUAGGUUUAGCCUUUAAUAUAUUCCCAAUAAAAGAUUUCGAAGAAUGGUUCAUUAAUUUGAUAACUAUUCUGCUCUCUUCGGAAGUCCGAAUGAUGUGAGUUUAAACAGAGUAACAAUAUUACUUUGAGCACAAUAUCUGGAAAGUCACUUUCGAAAGCGAUUCAGUACUUUAGUCGAACAAAUUACUGAAGUGCUUUCAAGUCAGCCAGGUAGUGGCCAAAGUAACUUGUACUAUUGUACAAAGUAUAUUGUACUAGGCAUGCCCAUUAUGACGGAAUCUACGCCCAGCUCGGUGGACACAUUGAUGAUCUCUUUCACGACGGGGACCAUGAUUUUGCAGCCCUCGAAACCGUAACGCUUCUGCAAAUAUUGGUAUUGAUGAACAUGAACUCCACGCCGAUAUUGUUG